CCUGUGAAUGUGACCUUCUCAGGAAAUAGCAUCUUUGCAAGAUAGAAUCAAGAUGGGAGUUGACUCCGAAGGAGGCUGAGCCCCUAAUCCAAUUGACUGGUGUCUUUAUAAGAAGAGAGAAGAAACACACACAGAGUAGCAGGACAGAAACUCCCAGAAUGCUAUGCCUGCUCUGGCACCGGCCUCCCGUAUUUCAAACCUAGAGUGGAUUCUUUUUGACAACUUCCACACCAUUCACACAGACCAGUUCUAGCAGCUCUCAAGUGUCUUCACCGUGGACAAACUUUCACCAAACGCCCAUCGCCGGCAAAUGUAUCACAAAUUUCUAUUGUAUUUGGAGGUCAAGU